CUUCCUGUUUAAUUUCUAAAUGGUAGAGAUGUUCCAAGUCAAAGCUGCAAUGUUUUGUUUGUGAGACCAAUAUCCAGCAUAUCUUCUCAUCCCCAGACAAUUGAGUUCUGCGUAUUCUGCGUAUUCGCUGAUCUUGCUUGGCAGGCUAUGAAAGAUGACAAGGUGAAACAGGAAGCAAGAACAGUGGAAGAAUCCUGGAAAAGGCCAACGAGUUUCACAUUGAGGUCUCAAAUGACUUUACAACAGUUUCAACUCACUUCAGUGUAAUUUCAGUGACCAAAAGCUG
rnacentral:lncRNA from 1 species